GACGGUUGUUGUUUGCACGGGUGGACAAUAAGGCAAAAUCUCGAUCUGGAAGUUAUUGUAAUUACUUCAUUGAUUGACAUGUAUGCAAAAUGCCAUCGUGUGGACCUUAGCUUUGGAGUCUUCACAAGAACUUCAACAAAUAGAACAGCUCCAUGGAAUGCAAUGCUCUCUGGGUGCAUUCAUAACGGUCUUGCAACUGAGGCGAUAGGACUUUUCAAGCAAAUGCUAGUAAAAGGAGUUGAACCAGAUGGUGCAACAAUGAACAGUCUACUUCCAGCAUAUGCCAUUCUUGCUGAUUUGCAGCCAUCGAAGAAC
rnacentral:misc_RNA from 1 species